rnacentral:rRNA from 1 species
UCUACGGAGAGUUUGAUUCUGGCUCAGAACGAACGCUGGCGGCGUGGAUAAGACAUGCAAGUCGAACGAGUUUGAUUCUGGAGCAAUUCAGGGUUGAGCUAGUGGCGAACGGGUGCGUAACACGUGAGUAAUCUGCCC